rnacentral:rRNA from 1 species
GACGAACGUUGGCGGCGUGCUUAACACAUGCAAGUCGAACGGAAAGGCCCUGCUUUUGUGGGGUGCUCGAGUGGCGAACGGGUGAGUAACACGUGAGUAACCUGCCCUUGACUUUGGGAUAACUUCAGGAAACUGGGGCUAAUACCGGAUAGGAGCUCCUGCUGCAUGGUGGGGGUUGGAAAGUUUCGGCGGUUGGGGAUGGACUCGCGGCUUAUCAGCUUGUUGGUGGGGUAGUGGCUUACCAAGGCUUUGACGGGUAGCCGGCCCGAGAGGGUGACCGGCCACAUUGGGACUGAGAUACGGCCCAGACUCCUACGGGAGGCAGCAGUGGGGAAUAUUGCACAAUGGGCGGAAGCCUGAUGCAGCAACGCCGCGUGCGGGAUGACGGCCUUCGGGUUGUAAACCGCUUUCGCCUGUGACGAAGCGUGAGUGACGGUAAUGGGUAAAGAAGCACCGGCUAACUACGUG